UCUAGUUGCUCUAUUGAAAACUAAGCUUACUGAUCAUCUAGGUAUUGUGCAUGAGUUUGGUUUCAAUGAAUAUUGGGAGGUGCCAGCCCAGGGUAUGUCCGGGGGCAUUGUCAUCUUUUGGCUUUCCAGAUAUGUUAGUGUUACUCAUCAUAGUCAGUCCCUAUAGGAACUCCAUGCCAUGAUCAAGGUACUUCCUCAAAACUCUCAUUGGUUAUUUUCUUCUAUAUAUGCUAGUACAAACUUUAAUAGGCGUAAAAUUCUUUGGAAUAAUCUCAAAAAUAUGUGUCACUCCCUUGAUGUCCGUGGUUAAUUGCGAGGGAUUUUAAUAAAAUUCUGCCCCAAAAUGAUAAAUGGGAUGGAAGAUCUAUUAAUCAUCGUAGAAGUUUUAAAUUUUGGUCUUGGAUUAAUAACUGUCAACUAAUAGAUCUUCGCUACUGAGGGAGUAAAUACAUGUGGUCUAAUCUCAGAAAGCAUAAUAAGGGUAAGGGUUUAAUUUUGGAAUGAAUUGAUAGUGUCUUUGCUACAAAUGUCUGGCUUGCAAUGUGGCCCAACGCCAAUAUUACUCAUCUCCCAAAAUAAAUCCAUACCACAACCUUCUCCUCAUUUUCCUAACUAAUCGUUAUUUUCGCGGAACUAAUAAACCUUUUAGACUAAAAAAAUUUUGAUUGGAUCAUUCAAACUUAAGUGAUAUAGUUUCUAAUAGUUGGGAGAAUAAAGAUUAUCUGGAUGCCCUUCCAGGCUUUAGUCAAAAUACCCUCAGCUGAAGGAAAAAAACUUUUGAUUGAAAAAAAGAGACACAUUUUAGCGUGCUUGAAGAAAUCCAAAAAUUUCAUACUUAUCUGACUAGUACUUUUCUUCAAACUCUUGAGGCUAGCCUUACAUUAGAAUAUAAUGAGGUCCUUAAGGUAGAAGAGGACUUUUGAAAAAUGCAAUCUCGUAUUAACUGACUUAGUAAAGGGGAUGCCAACACUAAGUUUUUCACCUUUCCGUUUUCAAUAGGCGUAGAAGAAACAAAAUUUCUUUUUUCAAGGAUGAACUUGACAAUUGGAUUAUGGACCCUAAUAGGAUUGCUAGUCACACCCUGAAUUAUUUUAGAGAUUAUUUUACUAGAAAUCACAAAAGCUCUAACGGGAAGCAUAUUAGGAAUUCUCCGACUAAGUUUCAUGCUCAUGACCUUUCAAUACUAGAUAGACCCCUUCAUAAUAUAGAAAUUACUCAUUAUUAUAGAAAUUACUCAAGAUAUUUUUUCUUUUAAACCCUUCAAAUCCCCAAGACCGGAUGGGCUACACCCCCACAUUUCCAAUCUCAAUGGAAAGUUGUUGGUCCCUUCGUUAUUACUUUAUGCCACACAAUUUUUAUUACUCAAAAAACUUUCUGAAUCAAUGAAUAAUACUUAUUUAUAUCUUAUUCCUAAAUUUGCUAAUGCUAACCAAUAAAACCUUUUUAGACCUAUCAGCUUGUGCAAUACGAUUUAUAUCACAAAAAUCAUCGCCUAAUCGCAUUAAGCCUCACUUAGCUCACCUCAUCGAACCCUAUCAGACUACUUUUCUUAAAGGUCAUUGAACAUGCGAUGAUGCCAUUCUUGUUCAAGAAUUUAUAAAUCAUCUCGGGAAGACUAAAAAGUAAAAAGGCUGCUUUAAUCCUUAAAUUGGAUUUAGAAAAAGCUUUCGAUCUCGUAGAAUUGUCCUUUGUCUAGCGGACACUUCUGUUUUUUAAAUUUCCCCCCAACAUAACUACUUUGAUUAUGCAUUGUAUUUCUACUAGUAAUAUAGCAAUUCUUGUUAAUGGUACUCCAGCAAACUAUUUCUCACCUUCGCGAGGCAUUAGGCAACGGGAUCCUAUGUCACCUUAUAUAUUUAUUCUUUGCAUGAAACUCUUAUCUAUCUAUAUUAAUCAUCAAGUAGAUAUUCUAAAAUGGCUCCCCAUUACUCUAAAUGCUAGUGGUCCACCGCUCUCUCAUCUUAUUUUUGUGGAUGAUAUUGCUCUCAUAUCUAAGGCCACAGUUGAUUCUGUAACUACUAUGUAUGAGUGUAUGCAUUACUUUUGUAUAAUUUCUGGACAAAAAAUUAAUACUACUAAGUCAAAAAGCUUUCUUUUUCUCCAAAUUGCUCUGCUAGUAUCAUUGCUUUAGUUAAAAACACUUUUAACAUCCUUCCUUCUGAAAAUUUUGGUAAGUAUUUAGGUUUUACAAUCUUAAACCACAAACCUAAAUGUGCCAACUUUCAGUUUAUUCUUGACAAUAUGAGGAAAAAACUUUCUCCCUGGAAAACAACCUUUCUUUCUCCCGUGGGUAGACUUGUGUUAGCAAAAUCCACCCUCAAUGCCAUCCCCGCUUCCACUAUGCAAUACUUCAAGCUUCUAAAGAAAAUCUAUAACUCUAUUGACCAAAUCCAACGGGACUUCCUUUGGGGAUCUAUGACCCAAAAGUAUAAACUCCACUACUUAGCAUGGGAUAAGGUCAUCUCCCACAGAAAAUGGAGGUCUUGCCUCUUAACAUUGCAAAAGAAAAAACCAGUCUCUUCUAACAAGCCUCUCUUGGAGGAUUGUCACUAACCCUUCAGCCUUGUAGGUUUUCAUUUUAACUUCCAAAUACAAUCGCCAACAAACUCACUCUUCUACCUCUUUUAUAUGGAAAAAUAUCCUUUUAGGUGGAGCUAUUUGUAACCAAGCAAUUGCGUGGGCCUUUGCAACGGGACAUACUAUUAAUCUUUGGUCCUAUCGUUGGGUGCCGAACACCCCUCCACUUCGCCAGCUUCUCCAUGGGCCUCUUAAUUAAGGGGAACAUAUGCUAUCCCUUGCGGAUAUGUGGAAUGAAACCACUUGGGAUUGGAAUAAAAUCUCCUUUGACAUCACUCAAGAUAUAAUCAUCAAGGUAACCUCUGUUCGUCCUAAGAUUAAACUAGGUAGCCAGGAUAAACCCUAUUGGGUUUAUAAUAAAAAGUGACUUUUUCCCACCCAAUCCUUCUAUAAAACCCUUCCAAGAUCCAAUCAUACUCAGUUUCCUUUCUACUGGAUGUGGAAUAUUCAUACACUUGAAAAAAUUAAGAUAUUUCUAUGGCUUUGCUCGUACGGUAAAAUCCUGAUACAUAGUUACUUAUAUUACAUUAGUGGUCCCAGUCUGUCACAUAGCUCCAGAGAAAGUUUCACACCUGUUUCUCCAAUAUUAUAUCGUAAAAAAAUUUUGGUACCCACCCUUCCACAAUGAUCUCCCAGAUUGGCUUGUAUUUUUAUCCUUUGCUCUUUGGAACAUUUGGAUUAACCGCAACAAUAAUGUAUACAAGGGGAAAAGUAAGUUUCUUAACAUCUCUACCGUUCUCAGUAAAACCAAGGAAUUUUUUAACCAUACUCUUGCGCCUGGGAAUAAUCUUAGUAGUAUUAACAACAAUAUAAAAGGGUUUUCUCCGACACCUGCAACCUUUAAACUUAAUAUUGAUGGUUGUUUUUCUUCCACCUCAGCCUAUUGUGGUAUAGGGGGAGUUGUUCGUGACUUUAAGGGCAGUUGGGUCAUGGGAUUUUACAAUGAGAGUCAUGCCCACUGCCACGUUAUGGCUGAAUUGGAAGCUCUUCACAGAGAGUUGUUAAUGACCAGUAAUCACAAGCUCUAUCCUAUAGAAAUAAAAAUGGACUCUGUCGAAAUCAUACAUCUUUUGCAACAACCCACGCAUCCUUAUACUGAUCUUGUUACUUCUUGCAGGCAUAUAUUGAGGAACUUAGGGAGUUCAGCAGUGCAACAUAACUUUAGACAAGCCAAUGGAGUAGUUGAUCGACUAUCUCGCCUAGGUUCUCAACUAACAAUGACCAACUCUCAUGAUGUUUUGUCCUCUCCGCCUGAUGAAGUCAAAGCACAAAUUAAACUGGAUCGAGAUGGAGCUAUAUAUAGUUAUCUAGUUUCAUGGUCAACAUGUAAUAAGUUAGUUUGUUUAGGGAACCAAUCCAUAAUAUAUACUAUGCAUAGUUCUAACUUUAUUUUGUCCAACUCAACUAUGAGUUUGGAUUCUAGUAGUAACAUUUCAAUGCAGAACACUACCAGCAAUAGUUCAUAUACUGCUCCAUGUACUUACUAG
rnacentral:lncRNA from 1 species